AGGGAGAGAGACAGAGUGAGAGAGAAAGAUGGAGAGAGGAGAGUAAGAGAGGACAGUGGGGGGAGGGAAAGUCGCCGCCGUGCAGGGCUUUAUCACACAGAUUGCUGGAGACAAGCUGUGGAACUUCCCUGUAAGGGAGCUAUGCACCACUACGGAGGAAGGAAACGAAGGAAGAAGAAAAAAACAGCAGCCAGCGACUGUGGAGGUUAUUCACAGAAAAGAGUAGAUGUAGAGGGAGGUAAUGCAGAGAAUUUCACGUCAACUUUCCAGUCUGCUUACAUAUCGGCGAGAGGGAGGCACUGCAGACCAACCAAUCAGCUAAGAUUGGACUCCUACAUUAUCUUCAGUUCCAGCGCACAUCCUCUCAGGCUUCGUGAGUCUAUCUUGAUACCAGAGUGCUGAACAGCACUGCCGCUGUGAAAGGGACAUCCAGACCAACAUCCCCCCACCAAAUGGGUGGCAAAGCCUUGUGAAUGACAAGCAAUUCAGCCGUGGGGCAUUGAAGCCAGGGAAGAGGCGAGUUUCUCUCAGUGAGCCGUUUCGGGGGGCAGCAGCGUGAUUCAGAGUUGAUGUGCUGAAGACGAGGGCAUCUGAACGGCAAGAGUGCUGGGUCACCUCCGAGGUAGGACGCUGACUCAAGUCCGCCUGCCCCCCCCAUGAUACUCAUCUCUCGAGUGACGCCAUUGUGGGGGCUUGGCAUGGCAGAACAGACUGGGGGAUGCAUUUUCUAUACUCUUGUUCUCCUCACCUGGACCAUUACCACACAUGCACACAGAACAGAAGUGAACUGUGAAAUAUCCCAUUGAAUAUACACCUCCAUUUACAUGGGCUUUGUUAAAUGGAAUAUCGACCUGUAAUCACAUGUUAAAACAGAAAAUACUCCCGCAAGAUGCAAAAGCAGAAAAAGCUGCUCCAAACAAUGUGUAAGAGAGCAAGAAAUCUAAAUCAGAGGCAGAAGAGCACAUUCUGUAAUAACUCAGUGAUAUGAGUUGUGCACCUCAAGGGUAAGCCAUCUGCCUGCCAAAAACAAAGGCAGUACACCAUGAUCCACCCCAGCGGCAGCAGGCCAGCAGGCAAGAACCGGCUUAUGUAACAAGGCAGAGCAGAGGGGCUGCCUGGCGGACAUGGGCCAGCCCGACCAUGUGGGAACGUGGCAGAUGCCCUUCACUUCAAUCUAGUAGGAUUGUCUGGAGUGGGGACUGAGCAUGUGUUCUGCAGGUUCACAAGCACUGGGAAGGAAGGAUGGCGUGUGUUACGAGACUGCAACAGCGCCCAUCUGUCAAGCCAUCAGUGUGAGCCAGUGGGGUACAUCCUCUUCAGCUGCUCUCCUGAAAGAGAAACACCCACUACCCAUAAGUCCUCUGCCAGUCACCCCUAGAGGCCUUCUUACUGUUCUCCAGCUGCAGGGAACAACUACCCAUCUCAACUCCACAAACAUCCUCAAUCAUAUCCACACUAUACAAUCAUGAACAGGGCAUCCAGCAAACACCUAGACGUUAUGGAACAGUCAUGCAGUGCAUGGUGUUGCAGAGAUCACUAUGUAAACCUCAAAACUACAAGUACGUAACCACAUGUCCCAGGGCUGCUGUGCUGAGAGAGAUGGGCCAUUUCAGCUAUUCAAAGAACCACAGGGUGUAGUAAUGGACACAGCAAACAGCAACCAUUAAUACAACUCCUGCAGGGCAUGCCUGGAAAAACUUGAGUUGUUCCACCUCACAGGCAGGGUUAGACACAACAGCCUUCAGUGAGUUCUCACUGAGACACUGGGGAGGAGGGACUUGCACCUCAUCAUGGCUACUCCCCAUGACUGACAGCUCUGCAUGACUCACUGACCUCGGGGUCCCCAGCUCUGACAGCUCAGCCACUCACAAAGUUGCCUAGGUCAAACUGCCAUC